UCUGAAUGGAAAGGCACUUACUUAUCUAUUAAUCUUUCACAAAAGGUGCAUAAUAAAUCAAUGUUCAUGUACAAAGGAAUUCUUAGAAAAUUACCCGUUACAUCUUUGGGGGUAAAAGGUCUGUGUUAUUGCACUGAAUGCCAGAAGGAUCGUGAAUGAUUUACCAGCAAUUGUCAGUUUUUACACCAAAGGCAAUACAAAAAAGAACAUAGGAUUGGCCAAACUGCAUCAGAUCAGAGGUCCACCUAACCCAGUCUCCUGUUUCCAUUAUUGGCCAGUACAAGAUGCUUCAAAGGAAUGUGCAAUAACCCUACAGCAAGAAGACGUGGGGCAUCCUAGUCUUUCUUGUGACUCAAAAUCAACACCAGCUACUGAAUAUAAGAAAGUCCAGC